GUGGGGGACAACGUUUCGAAAGGAACGCUAAUACCGCAUACGUCCUACGGGAGAAAGCAGGGGACCUUCGGGCCUUGCGCUAUCAGAUGAGCCUAGGUCGGAUUAGCUAGUUGGUGAGGUAAUGGCUCACCAAGGCGACGAUCCGUAACUGGUCUGAGAGGAUGAUCAGUCACACUGGAACUGAGACACGGUCCAGACUCCUACGGGAGGCAGCAGUGGGGAAUAUUGGACAAUGGGCGAAAGCCUGAUCCAGCCAUGCCGCGUGUGUGAAGAAGGUCUUCGGAUUGUAAAGCACUUUAAGUUGGGAGGAAGGGUACUUACCUAAUACGUGAGUAUUUUGACGUUACCGACAGAAUAAGCACCGGCUAACUCUGUGCCAGCAGCCGCGGUAAUACAGAGGGUGCAAGCGUUAAUCGGAAUUACUGGGCGUAAAGCGCGCGUAGGUGGUUUGUUAAGUUGAAUGUGAAAUCCCCGGGCUCAACCUGGGAACUGCAUCCAAAACUGGCAAGCUAGAGUAGGGCAGAGGGUGGUGGAAUUUCCUGUGUAGCG
rnacentral:rRNA from 1 species